UGAGGACUCCUUACACAGUGGGGUGAAUUGUGAGUCCUAUUCCCACCAAGGAGGUCCAAAAAGAAAACUAAACACUGAGACAAUGCAGGGGCCAUAGGAAGGCAUCCGUCCAUCAGUGAUGUCCCCCUGUGGACACUAGAGGGCGAUGUGGAUCAGGCCCUGGGAGAACAGGAGAUAGCUGGGAAAUGGUCCUCCAAGCCUGGGUCCCAUAUACAUGUGGUGACUGGUGUGUAAAACCCAACAACCGUGACCUGGGCGAGUUGCUGAGUCCCCCUGGGAGGGGGGAUCAUUUGCAUGAAAGCCUUGCCCAGCCCCCAGGGUGUCAGGAGUUAUAGUGAGAGCCUUGGGGGCUGACCCUGAGGGGAACAGUCUAGAACAGCACAGCACUGAGCUGUCUACACCAUGGCCUGGGCUCCUCUCCUGCUCACACUGCUGGCUCAAUUCGCAGGAGCCACGUCCCAGGAGGUGGUGACUCAGGAAACUUCCCUGUUAACAACUCCUGGAGGGACAGUCACACUCACCUGUGGCUCCAGCACUGGGGCUGUCACCACCAGCAACUAUGCCAACUGGGUCCAACAGGGGUCCAACGAGGUACCCCGUGGUCUAAUAUAUGGUACCAGCAACCGAUACCCAGGGGUCCCUGCCCGAUUCUCAGGCUCCCUGCUUGGAGACAAGGCUGCCCUCACCAUCACAGGGGCCCAGGCUGAGGACGAGGCCGAGUAUUACUGCGCUCUGUGGUUCAGCAACCAUUUCCACAGUGACAGAUGCACAUGGGGAAGUGAGACAAAAACAGCCUGGCUCAGUCUCCCCCUGUGCUCCUAAUAUCUGCGUCUUCUUCACACAGAGGUGCAAGUGGCCAGUGUGAGUUCAGGAAGCUUGUUCUCCAGGGACCCAGAGAAGAUGAUCAAAUAUAUUGUUCUAAGCUCCAAAAUGUUUUAUUUUUAACACCAAUUUUAUGAUAACA